rnacentral:rRNA from 1 species
GACAGAGGGUGCAAACGUUGUUCGGAAUUACUGGGCGUAAAGCGUGUGUAGGCGGCUUUGCAAGUCGGAUGUGAAAGCCCCGGGCUCAACCCGGGAAGUGCACUCGAUACUGCAGAGCUUGAGUGUCGGAGAGGUUGGUGGAAUUCCCGGUGUAGCGGUGAAAUGCGUAGAGAUCGGGAGGAACAUCAGUGGCGAAGGCGGCCAUCUGGGACAACACUGACGCUGAAGCACGAAAGCGUGGGGAGCAAACAGG